GACGAACGCUGGCGGCGUGCUUAACACAUGCAAGUCGAGCGGUAAGGCCCUUUCGGUGGUACACGAGCGGCGAACGGGUGAGUAACACGUGGGUGACCUGCCCUCAGCUCUGGGAUAAGCCUGGGAACCCGGGUCUAAUACCGGAUAUGACUCCAUGACGCAUGUUGUGGGGUGGAAAGCCUUGUGCGGCUGAGGAUGGGCCCGCGGCCUAUCAGCUUGUUGGUGGGGUGANGGCCUACCAAGGCGACGACGGGUAGCCGGCCUGAGAGGGCGACCGGCCACACUGGGACUGAGACACGGCCCAGACUCCUACGGGAGGCAGCAGUGGGGAACCUUGCGCAAUGGGCGAAAGCCUGACGCAGCGACGCCGCGUGAGGGAUGACGGCCU
rnacentral:rRNA from 1 species